CAUUUGCAACAUCACAUUUGCCAGUACAGCAUCUCUUUGUGAUGUCCCAAUGUUUUUGAAAAAUUGCCAUAGUACACUUUAAAGAUCAUUAGUUUUAAUUUUUACAUCUAUGGUCUAGAAGUGUUUUUCAAACAAAAAUGUUUGUCAUUCUGACAUAACUACUGGUUUAACAAAUCUGCCUUAAAAUUCUGAGGACAGAGGUUAAAAUCCCGCCACCCCUGUCCGGAGUUUCCGUGUUGCCCUGCGGGGGUUUUCUCCAGGUACUCCGAUUUCCUCCCACAUUUCAGAAACAGGUUAAUUGAAGACUGAAGAAUUAAAAACUGAGUGUGAAUGGUUGUGAUUGGCUGGUGACCAGUUCAGUCUGCAUCUCUCCUUUCAUCUAAACUCAACUGAGAUAAGCACCAGCACACGUACAACCUUAGUGAGGAUAAGUGGUACCAUAAAAUGGACAGAUGUAUUUUACUACUACUAUGCUUAGCUCAAGAUUUUGAUGGACUAGGGUGCCUUCCGACUUUCAGGUAUGUCACCGCCAUAAUAACAAAAUACUGUUUUAAACUGAGAAUCCCACGUAGACCUUUUUUAUAUUAACACAUAAAUUUAAGAUUAAAAUCUCAAAAAGUGCUCAAAAAUCUAACUCCUUGUUUGUUUUCUACAGUAAAUACAUUAAACGUUUGAAUAUACGUGCUGAAACGUGCAAAGACAAUUGUUGAUAUAUGGCUUAAAACCCUUUUUCAUCUUGUAAACUGUCCUGAUUUUGAGGACCAUUGUGGUUUGAAUCCCUUCUAUCCACAUAUCCUUUAAAUGCCAUAUCCUUUAUAUUUUCACACAGGCAGUAUGUCAUUUCUGUACCUUGUGUGCUGACUUUAUUUGAUUGCUUCUUCUUUUUGACUAUCUGCAGCUUGUUGGGCAGCACAAUAUUGUGCUACCUGCCAGCCGCUCCCAAACCCGGAUAAAUGCAGAGGGUUGCGUCAGGAAGAGCAUCCGGUGUAAAACUGUGCCAAAAUGCAGGAAGGCAUCUAAGGAAAGAUAUUAGCGAAGAAGUGGGACACGGAGAGGACUGAGGAGAGGCUACUUACGCUUGGCAGAUAUGGAGAGAUCUUCCCAUUUGGUGUUUGGUUUUGAUUUAUUGUAUUGAAGAAAAUUCCCACUUAUUUGAAGUUCUUGGAACACUUCAAGUGGAACACUUCACUUCGUGUCCUAAAAACAUUAUUGUUAAUUAGUUGUUGUAAGUGGUCAAUUCUGUUAUUCACAAUUGCUAAAAGGGUUGCUGAGGGAUAUAUUAUUAAUUUCAAAAUCUGGAUUAUGACUGAUUGGGGAGAACAUACUUGGACCUAAGUGAGAGUAGGUUAUAGACUUUUCCACCAAGCCGUUAAAAUGACAGUGAUGCUGAUCACUAGUGAGGAAAUACAUUUAGUAGUAAAACUAAUGAAUAGCUGCAGCAAGAGGUUCAAUGAUUAUUGCGAAUAGGAUUGGUGAGAGUGGACAUCUUUGUCUGGUUCCUCUUUGCAAUGGAAAGCUUUGUGAAAUAAUCCUGUUUGAGGUGAUUGUUGUAUUCUGGAACUAUAUAAUAUUGCUAGUAUGAACGAAUCUCAAAAGUCACAUUUGCAUUAUAAUUGCUAACAGGAAAGUCCAGUUAACUUCAUGAAAAGCUUUUUCUGCACCAAGUGUCAUCAUAAUUGCAUCUGGGUUUUUACAUUUUGACAUGCAUAUUAAAUUUAGCAAAUGUCUUACAUUAUUUGUGGAGCUUCUACCUUUAACUUCUCGGGUUCAAUCCCGGACCUGCCUCUAUGGAGUUUGCAUGUUCUCCCCAUGCCUGCGUGGAUUUCUCCGGGCACUCUGGUUUCCUCCCACAUUCCAAAAACAUGCAACAUUAAUUGGACACUCUAAAUUGCCCCUAGGUGUGAUUCUGAGUGCGGCUGUUUGUCUCGAUGCAUCCUGUGAUUGGCUUAAAAAAAUGCUUGCAUACUCUUCUUCCC